rnacentral:rRNA from 1 species
UAAGGAAUAUUGGUCAAUGGACGCAAGUCUGAACCAGCCAUGCCGCGUGAAGGAUGAAGGUCCUCUGGAUUGUAAACUUCUUUUAUAUGGGAAGAAAUCCAUCUUUUCUUGGGUGGUUGACGGUACCAUAGGAAUAAGCACCGGCUAACUCCGUGCCAGCAGCCGCGGUAAUACGGAGGGUGCAAGCGUUAUCCGGAUUCACUGGGUUUAAAGGGUGCGUAGGAGGGCAGGUAAGUCAGUGGUGAAAUCUCCAAGCUUAACUUGGAAACUGCCGUUGAUACUAUCUGUCUUGAAUACCGUGGAGAUGAGCGGAAUAUGUCAUGUAGCGGUGAAAUGCUUAGAUAUGACAUAGAACACCAAUUGCGAAGGCAGCUCGUUACACGAAUAUUGACUCUGAGGCACGAAAGCGUGGGGAUCAAACA